rnacentral:rRNA from 1 species
GAUGAACGCUGGCGGCGUGCCUAAUACAUGCAAGUCGAGCGAACAGACGAGGAGCUUGCUCCUCUGACGUUAGCGGCGGACGGGUGAAUAACACGUGGAUAACCUACCUAUAAGACUGGGAUAACUUCGGGAAACGGGAGCUAAUACCGGAUAAUAUAUUGAACCGCAUGGUUCAAUAGUGAAAGACGGUUUUGCUGUCACUUAUAGAUGGAUCCGCGCCGCAUUACCUAGUUGGGAAGGUAACGGCUUACCAAGGGAACGAUGCGUAGCCGACCUGAAAGGGUGUUGGGCAACACUGGAACUGAGCCACGGUCCAGACUCCUACGGUAGCCAGCAUUAGGGAAUCUUCCGCAAUGGGCGAAAGCCUGCCGGAGCAACGCCGCGUGAGUGAUGAAGGUCUUCGGAUCGUAAAACUCUGUUAUUAGGGAAGAACAAAUGUGUAAGUAACUAUGCACGUCUUGACGGUACCUAAUCAGAAAGCCACGGCUAACUACGUG